UUUUGUUGCCAAACUACUUUAUUACCGUUGUGUUAUAAAUAAAAAAAACAUGCAUUAUCUUGAUUUUAAUUAUUAGAAUAUCUUAAAAUAAAACUAAGGUCAUAAAACAAUUAUUUAAAAGUAUACAUAUUAACACACAAAAAAAUGGAUCAUAUAGUUAUCAAGGUUGGUUUUACAAUUAUUCAACUUAUUCUAUUAUAAUUUCCCUAACAUAAUUAUCGUUGUGUAAUAAAUACAUUUACUGUUUAAAACAUGCACUCUUGAUUUUAAUUAUUCGAAUAUCUUAAAAUUAAACUAAGGUCAUAAAACAACUAUUUAAAAGUAUACAUAUUAACACACAAACACUUGGAUAAUAUAGUUGUCAAUGCUCGUUUUAUAAUUAAUCAACUUAUUUUGUUAUAACCAGA